UAUAGGACAGGGGGCAAGACAGGGAGCUCUUUCACACUACGCGCACACACACAAUGCAUCCCUAUACACACACAGAAACACAACAUGCUUCUCUUACACACAGAGGAACACACAAUGCAACCCUUACACACAAAGACAAUGCAUCCUUUGCACACAUACACAGAAACACACAAUGCAAACCCUUACACACACACUUCUUUUCUUACAUACACACAGAAACACAAUGCAUCUCUUACACACA